AAGAAAUAAGCUCCAUUAAUUAGAAUCUUAGGGAUAAGCGGCAAAAAUAUUAAAAAUCUGCGCCAAACAUGGGUGUGAUGAAACCGCACAAUCUCCUCCACUCUCUAUCACUCUCCCCUACCCAACUCCAAUUUUAGCGUUUUUGUGGAUGAAUAAUUUCAUGUUCGUGAGAGAAUGAGUCACAGGCUGAUGAGGGACGCAGAAGGUGGUGGGGGGAUUUUUCAAUUAUGUGUGAAUCCUGCCUAGGUGACAGUCCAUACGUUCGAAUGGUAUUAUGAUUAUGUGUUGUCGAAUUUUCUUUGCUUGUGUAUUGUUUUGUGUGUAGAGAUUUAUUUAAUGUGGCCAAAGAUCUUAUAUGUCAAAUUUGUCAUAAACUGAAAAUUGUGUGUCGUGUUUUCCUUUUGGAUCUUGAGUAGUGAUUACUCCUUCAGGUUUGUGAUACUUAUCUGAGUAUUAUGCCAAUACAUCUUAUUACCGAGCUCCUGUGAUAUGCAACAUUGCAAGUAAUUGUGGUGUCUUUUGUUGGUGCUAAGAUUGCUAGCAGUAGUCUAUUGUAAUUUGUAAAUAUAUAUAAACAAAGUCCUUGACUCUACUCCGUAGGAUGUUUUUAGAUGCCAAAUCAUUACAAUUGCUUGUGGGUGUCUUUUGCAUACAUAUAAACAAAGGUAUUGAGUCUAUUGACUAAUACUUAGGAUUUUUUGGAUGAUAUUUGGCACUGGACAAUCAGUAUGUGAAAUCUUAUGUUGCAUUAAUUGUUGUUGGACCAAAGUCUCUUGUUGUUAGCUAUAACCAUCUCUGAUCAUAGAAAGAAAAAGAACACGAAAAAAAUCCAGCUGUCCUUCGAUAAGAUUCCAUUAUUAAAGUGCAGUAAUUCAAAUGGUAUGAAUAGCAUCAGUGACAAGGUAGUUUUCCUUCAUUUGAUAUGUACUCUGUUAGUGUCCAAAAACUAUUUUAUCUUUUACAGCUUUCAAUCAUAAUUUUGAAGUUUCGACAUUAUAACACUUCCUGAAGCUCUACUCUUGCAGGUUAUCUGAUCACUUCACUUGUUGAUACUGGUUUCAAUGGUCAUUUGGGUAUGUUUUAUUGUUUGAUUCGAUAUUUGGUGUUUCAUUGCUUAUAUUGGCUCCACCUACCUGUUUGUUAGUGUUUAGAUCUUCAUUAUAUUUACUUUACCCGCGGUUGAAAAAGGCGAGGUGAUUGCUCUACUUGACAUAGCAAUAUGUUUGUAUGAGGCUAUGCACAUUUGGAGAGGGCAGCUCAGAAGGGAAAGUGAUUUUGCUAUGAACUUCGAUUGUGAAUAUUUAUACCUUUCAUGUCCAACAUAAUCCUUGACAACUCAAAUAAGAUCAAAUAUAUUAUGUUGUAGCAGUUCUCGAUGUGCUUCACAUAACUCAUGUUGCCAUUGAUAGACACUAUAAGUCAAUAUGAACCUUGCAUUGAUAAGGUCACAUUGUAUAGGGACUUUGCCCUUUGGAUGCAUAUCUAAAGAGAAAAGCAAUGCAGCUAUAAAUUUGUUUUGCACUAGAAAUUUGUUUUACACUUCUAUAUGGGAUUAGGACUUUACUAUUUUUAUUACUAUUACUAUUAUAUGUGUUCAAAACACAUAAGAUUGUUUUAUGUAAAAUCAUUAGAUACUGGAUAUCUAUUAGCCAAAUUUUGGCAUUUUAUUUGAUGAGUUUUUAAUGAAA